AAACACCUGCAUGUUAACAAAUUCGUGAUCCUCUAGUCCUAACAAAGCUCAAGGAAUAAAGGAAGAAAGCUCAAGCCAAUCCGGGUCACAAACGAAGAACGGUAAAGGUAAAGCUACUUGACGGAUGGCAUAUUUGGACCGAACACACUUGUGAUGCACGCUUCCGCGAUGUUGCUAGUCAUGGUCUAAACUUUUAUUAAAUGUUUCUUUUGUAAAAAAAAACGGGUCCUUUGUAUGUAAGUUAAUCCGGUAGCGGUUAGAUGUUAAACUUGUAGUUAAAGACUUGGUUAAUGUUCCACAAAAUGUUUGGGGGUACAAACUCUUGUGUAAUUAUUUUGUUGGGUAAUAUGAAGUUAAAUGCUGAAUUUUACUUGUAAA